GAACAUAACAUGCUAACGUGCUAUGAGGGGAUACAAUCUCUUUAUUCCAUGUCUGCACGCCCUCCAGCUCACACCGUGGGGCCUCUAACCUUCCACCAUGGUCCUCCCCUGGACUCUCUGUGUGUGCAGAUCCUCUUCUGGAGCAGAACUGGGUUGUCACAGGCCUGGAGCGUGUGUUUGGAAGGUUCUGACUUUGCUGUCUUGGGAAUCAGUUGCCAACAAGGGUGACCAAGCUCCUCAGCUAGAGACAGGCCAUGUCCAGAGGCCCUGCAGGAGGACAUACCCCCUAGAGGGAGAGGCAAGGGUAGGAGAGCCAGCCUCCCGCCCCUAGAGGGAGAGGCAAGGGUAGGAGAGCCAGCCUCCCGCUGACAGUGAGCACCAAGGCCUGGAUGCAGGAUGCCUGCCUGGAGAACAUCCGGCCCAGCCCAGCCCGGCUGCCCGCUGAACCCAGCCUCCUUGUGAAUGGUGUGUAUAGCGGAACUGUCCAGGCCAACGCAAAAGCAUGGGAAAUAGAAAGUCCUUAUGGUUUUAUGCCACUUAAUCUGGGGGUCAUUUGUUAUAUCUCAAUUGAUAGAUGAAACUCAUGCCAGCUUCCUGAUUUUAGGAAGAGUUGAUCCAAUUUGUCUGGUGCUCAGGAUCACAAAUAUCUCAAACAAUGCUCAUUGGUACUCAGUCUCUAAAAAUUCUAUUGAUAUUUUUCUUAAGAAACAUAGUUCUUGAUGACUAUCUUCUUGAAGACAUAGACACGCACCACUACCACAUUCAUUAAUAAUAAUAAUAACAACAACGACAACAAAACUAGUAUAUUGUGAUUUGCUUGGAGUGGCCAGCUUCAGGAGGGAAAUGAAUAACUGUUUUCCAGACUCAAGGAAGAUUCAACUCGAGAUGUAACAUUAGGCAGGCAGGCAGGCCAGUGUUGAAGCACUGGUUUACUGGGCCGGAGAUGGGUAGUUCACAGACUCCAUGCAUGGUUUGACUAUGAAAGAGGAGUCCAUGAACACAGAUUACAUGUUCAUUCUCUCAAUGCAGUUUUUGGCUAGGUUGCAUUAAUACAUAUUCAUCAAUAGAUCAGUAGAAAAACGCUGAGCUCUGUUAAUCAUACUAUAGAUCUGUAGUCAAAAGGUGUUUUUUUUUUAAAGGUGUUUUUGAGGAGAAGUAAUGUGAAAAAGGGAGCAAACCAUUUCAUAACACAGAUUAGAUGCCACAUAAUAUACAAAGCUAAGAGAAAGGAAACUUAUUUUGGGCUCCAAAAAUGUUGGGAUGUGAGACUGAAAUUAGUACUCAUGUUUCUGAUGAAAGGUCUCAAACUGAGUACUGUGGAUUAUUCUAGGCCAUUAAUAACCACAAACUGCUUGAAAUAACCAUGGCAACAACCAGUAGCUAUGUACAGUACAAUCACCCUGAUUACCAUAGAAUUAGCACAAAACAAAUGUUUGUUCUUUUCCUAAAUAGAUGUAUUAUGAUGAUGAUAACAGCUUCCUAUUUACCCCAGGUUUUCCCAUCACCACUCCUACUCCAAACA
rnacentral:lncRNA from 10 species